GGCGGGUCUCCCCGCAUUCGACGUUUGUGAACCUGGUCAGGUCGGGAACGAAGCAGCCACAGCGAAUUAGUCGGAGUGCCGGGGGCAAGGCUCGCCACC
rfam:Betaproteobacteria bacterium TKL13-2, complete genome.